rnacentral:ncRNA from 1 species
UAAUUAGCAAUGAAGGGAAGAGUAGGUUGGUGGCGUUAGUUGAAGAGAGCCGGGUAAGGUGAAAGCCGGUCUGACGAAGCUUACUGAAGAUGGCCCCUGAGCUUUGUGGCUGAGAGAAAGAAUUUUCUUUAGGUCAUGACGGGUUUGCAUCCGAUAGCAAUGCAAAAGUGCAAUGGCACUUACAGAGUAUAUUGUCGCAAGGCAAUGUAGAACUAGGGUGGUACCGUGAAUAUAACCUCGCCCCUAUA